rnacentral:rRNA from 1 species
UACGAAGGGGGCUAGCGUUGUUCGGAUUUACUGGGCGUAAAGCGCACGUAGGCGGAUUGUUAAGUCAGGGGUGAAAUCCUGGAGCUCAACUCCAGAACUGCCUUUGAUACUGGCAAUCUUGAGUCCGGAAGAGGUGAGUGGAACUCCUAGUGUAGAGGUGGAAUUCGUAGAUAUUCGCAAGAACACCAGUGGCGAAGGCGGCUCACUGGCCCGAUACUGACGCUGAGGCACGAAAGCGUGGGGGAGCAAACAGGG